UACAUGGGGUGCAAACGUUGCUCGGAAUUAUUGGGCGUAAAGCGCGCGUAGGCGGUUACUUAAGUCGGAUGUGAAAGCCCUCGGCUUAACUGAGGAAGUGCACCCGAAACUGAGUAGCUAGAGUACGAAAGAGGGUCGCGGAAUUCCCGGUGUAGAGGUGAAAUGCGUAGAUAUCGAGAGGAACACCUGCGGCGAAGGCGGGUUGCUGGGCUGACACUGACGCUGAUGCGCGAAAGCCAGGGGAGCGAACGGG
rnacentral:rRNA from 1 species